rnacentral:piRNA from 1 species
GCUGUGAGUAGUGGUUCUGACUGC